rnacentral:tRNA from 1 species
UUAGAGGAAAAGGAUUUAAACCUUCAACAGAAAAUCCAAAAUUUACCGUAUUAUCAAUUUAUACUAUCCGCUA